AACGAACGCUGGCGGCAUGCCUAACACAUGCAAGUCGAACGAGACCUUCGGGUCUAUUGGCGCACGGGUUCGUAACGCGUUGGAACCUUCCCUUAGGUUCGGAAUAACUCCCCUAAAUGGGUGCUAAUACCGGAUAUUUUCUUCGGCCCAAAGAUUUAUCGCCUUUGGAGGGGCCCGCGUUGGAUUAGCUUGUUGGUAGGGUAAAAGCAUACCAAGGCCACGAUCCAUAGCUGGUAUGAGAGGAUGAUAAGCCACACUGGGACUGAGACACGGCCCAGACUACUACGGGAGGAAGCAGUGGGGAAUAGAGGAAAAUGGGCGAAAGGAUGAUAAAGCAAUGACGGGAGAGAGAUGAAGGGAUUAGGGUAGUAAAGCAAAUUUAAAAGGGAAGAUAAUGACAGUAACGGGAGAAUAAGCGCCGGCUAACUCCGUG
rnacentral:rRNA from 1 species